rnacentral:rRNA from 1 species
AGCUCCAUUAGCGUAUAUUAAAGUUGUUGCAGUUAAAAAGCUCGUAGUUGGAUUUCGGCGUGGGCCAGUGGGUCGGCCGCGAGGCCUGUUACUGACUGGUCCGCUCUUCCUCUCAAAGACUGCGCGUGCCCUUCGCUGGGUGUGCGUAUUUGGAUUUGGGACGUUUACUUUGAAAAAAUUAGAGUGUUCAAGGCAGGCUCGCCAGCUUGAAUACAUGAGCAUGGAAUAAUGGAAUAGGACUACGGUCCCUAUUUCGUUGGUUUGACGGACCGAAGUAAUGAUUAAGAGGGACAAUUGGGGGCAUCCGUAUUUCGUAGUCAGAGGUGAAAUUCUUGGACCUACGAAAGACGAACCAGUGCGAAAGCAUUUACCAAGGAUGUUUUCAUUAAUCAAGAACGAA